GACGUAGGGGGCGAGCGUUGUCCGGAUUCAUUGGGCGUAAAGCGCGCGUAGGCGGCCCGGUAAGUCGGAUGUGAAAUCUCACGGCUCAACCGUGGAACUGCAUUCGAAACUGUCGGGCUAGAGGCAGGUAGGGGAGAUCGGAAUUCCCGGUGUAGCGGUGAAAUGCGCAGAUAUCGGGAGGAAUACCAGAGGCGAAGGCGGCUACCUGGACAAUUGCUGACGCUCAGGCACGAAAGCGUGGGGAGCAAAAGGG
rnacentral:rRNA from 1 species